rnacentral:tRNA from 1 species
GCGGGUAUGGUUUAGUGGUAGAACAACUGGUUGCCAAUCAGUUGGCGGGAGUUCGAUUCUCCCUACCCGCACCA